rfam:Piromyces finnis strain finn BCR36scaffold_12, whole genome shotgun sequence.
GCUUGAGUAGUGUAGUGGUUAUCACGCGUCCUUCACACGGACGAGGUCCUGGGUUCAAACCCCAGUUCAAGCA